CGUCGMCUUUAUAAAUCGGGRGGGUUCAAGUCCCUCUAUCCCCA
rnacentral:tRNA from 1 species